rnacentral:rRNA from 1 species
GACGAACGCUGGCGGCGUGCCUAAUACAUGCAAGUCGAGCGAAAGGACGAGACGCUUGUUUCUCUGAUGUUAGCGGCGGACGGGUGAGUAACGCGAGGAACCCCUCCCUAUCUGACUGGGAACACUACGGGAAACCGGCGCAAACACCGGAUGAUAUCUUGAACCGCAUGGUGCAAAAGUGAAAGACGGUGUUGCUGUAUCUUAUAGCUGGAUCUGCGCUGCAUUAGCUAGUUGGGAAGGUAACGGGUUACGAAGGGAAGGAUGCGUAGCCGACCUGAGAGGGGGGUAGGCCACACGGGAACGGAGACACGGACCAGACUCCUGCGAGAGGCAGCAGAAUGGAAUCGUCCGCAAUGGUCGAAAGCCUUACGGAGCAGCGCCGCGUGAGUUAUGAAGGUCUUCGGAUCGUAAUGCUCUGUUAUUGGGUAAGAACAGAUUUGGACUGUGCUGUGGACAUCGUGACGGUACCGAAUCAGAAAGCCACGGCUAACUACGUG